CAGCAGCCGCGGGAAUACAGAGGGUGCGAGCGUUAAUCGGAUUUACUGGGCGUAAAGCGUGCGUAGGCGGCUUCUUAAGUCGGAUGUGAAAUCCCUGGGCUUAACUUAGGAAUUGCAUUCGAUACUGGGAAGCUAGAGUAUGGGAGAGGAUGGUAGAAUUCCAGGUGUAGCGGUGAAAUGCGUAGAGAUCUGGAGGAAUACCGAUGGCGAAGGCAGCCAUCUGGCCUAAUACUGACGCUGAGGUACGAAAGCAUGGGGAGCAAACAGGAUUAGAUACCCCGGUAGUCCCUGUCUCUUAUAA
rnacentral:rRNA from 1 species